rnacentral:rRNA from 1 species
CCUACGGGAGGCAGCAGUGGGGGAUAUUGGACAAUGGGGGAAACCCUGAUCCAGCGACGCCGCGUGAGUGAAGAAGUAUCUCGGUACGUAAAGCUCUAUCAGCAGGGAAGAAAAUGACGGUACCUGACUAACAAGCCCCGGCUAACUACGUGCCAGCAGCCGCGGUAAUACGUAGGGGGCAAGCGUUAUCCGGAUUUACUGGGUGUAAAGGGAGCGUAGACGGCAGGACAAGUCUGGAGUGAAAUCCCGGGGCUUAACCCCGGAACUGCUUUGGAAACUGUGCGGCUGGAGUGCAGGAGGGGUAAGCGGAAUUCCUAGUGUAGCGGUGAAAUGCGUAGAUAUUAGGAGGAACACCGGUGGCGAAGGCGGCUUACUGGACUGUAACUGACGUUGAGGCUCGAAAGCGUGGGGAGCAAACAGGAUUAGAUACCCCUGUAGUC